rnacentral:pre_miRNA from 1 species
UGUCUUUACUACCGGGAUACACCCUGUGCUCGCUUUGAAGUUUAAGCUAACAAUUUGAUAUCAGUGAACACAGCUGGUGGUAUCUCAGUGGUAGCUGGCAU